rnacentral:rRNA from 1 species
GCGCAGCAGUCGCGAAACCUUCGCAAUGCGGGAAACCGCGACGAGGGACUCCCAGUGCCUACGCUCAGCGUAGGCUGUUCCCGAGCCUAGAAAGCUCGGGGAGUAAGGGCUGGGUAAGACGGGUGCCAGCCGCCGCGGUAAUACCGCAGCCCGAGUGGUGGCCACUAUUAUUGGGCCUAAAGCGUCCGUAGCCGGCCCGGUAAAUGCCUGGGUAAAUCGUGAGGCCUAACCUCACGAAUUCCGGGUAGACUGCCGGGCUAGGGACCGGAGGAGGGAGAGGGUACUCCAGGGGUAGGGGUGAAAUCCUGUAAUCCCUGGAGGACCACCGGUGGCGAAGGCGCUCUCCUAGGACGGGUCCGACGGUGAGGGACGAAAGCCAGGGGAGCGAACCGGAUUAGAUACCCCCGUAGU